UUGAAGGAACCACGCGAAUAAACACUGCCUAACCCCGCCAGGUCCGGAAGGAAGCAACGGUAAGUAGAUGUUUAUUGCGCCGUGGCAACCCUGCUUGCG
rnacentral:SRP_RNA from 1 species